rnacentral:rRNA from 1 species
UCGCCUGUUUACCAAAAACAUCACCUCUAGCAUAACAAGUAUUAGAGGCAUUGCCUGCCCAGUGACUAAAGUUAAACGGCCGCGGUAUCCUGACCGUGCAAAGGUAGCAUAAUCACUUGUUCCUUAAUUAGGGACUAGAAUGAAUGGCUAAACGAGGGUUCAACUGUCUCUUACUUUCAAUCAGUGAAAUUGACCUUCCAGUGAAGAGGCUGGAAUACUACAAUAAGACGAGAAGACCCUAUGGAGCUUUAAUUUACUAGUUUAAUUUAUAUAAUAACAACCUAAUGGACCAAGACAAAAUAAAUAUAAACUAAAAAAUUUCGGUUGGGGUGACCUCGGAGAAUAGAAAAUCCUCCGAAUGAUUUUAACCUAGACCUACAAGUCAAAGUAAUAUUAAUAUCUUAUUGACCCAAUUAUUGAUCAACGGACCAAGUUACCCUAGGGAUAACAGCGCAAUCCUAUUUAAGAGUUCAUAUCGACAAUUAGGGUUUACGACCUCGAUGUUGGAUCAGGACAUCCCAAUGGUGCAGAAGCUAUUAAUGGUUCGUU